CCUACGGGAGGCUGCAGUGGGGAAUAUUGCACAAUGGACGAAAGUCUGAUGCAGCGACGCCGCGUGAGGGAUGAAGGCCUUCGGGUUGUAAACCUUUUUCGCUUUUGACCAAGGCAGCAUUUUGGUGUUGUUGAGGGUAUGAGGUAAAGAAGCUCCGGCUAACUACGUGCCAGCAGCCGCGGUAAUACGUAGGGAGCGAGCGUUGUCCGGAUUUAUUGGGCGUAAAGGGCUUGUAGGUGGCUUGUCGCGUCUGCCGUGAAAUUCCGCAGCUUAACUGUGGUAGUGCGGUGGGUACGGGCAGGCUUGAGUGUGGUAGGGGAGACUGGAAUUCCUGGUGUAGCGGUGGAAUGCGCAGAUAUCAGGAGGAACACCGGUGGCGAAGGCGGGUCUCUGGGCCAUUACUGACGCUGAGGAGCGAAAGCGUGGGGAGCGAACAGGCUUAGAUACCCCUGUAGUC
rnacentral:rRNA from 1 species